rnacentral:rRNA from 1 species
GAUGAACGCUGGCGGCGUGCCUAAUACAUGCAAGUCGAGCGAACAGAUGAGAAGCUUGCUCCUCUGAUGUUAGCGGCGGACGGGUGAGUAACACGUGGAUAACCUACCUAUAAGACUGGGAUAACUUCGGGAAACCGGAGCUAAUACCGGAUAAUAUAUUGAACCGCAUGGUUCAAUAGUGAAAGACGGUUUUGCUGCUACUUAUAGAUGGAUCCGCGCCGCAUUAGCUAGUUGGUAAGGUAACGGCUUACCAAGGCAACGAUGCGUAGCCGACCUGAGAGGGUGAUCGGCCACACUGGAACUGAGACACGGUCCAGACUCCUACGGGAGGCAGCAGUAGGGAAUCUUCCGCAAUGGGCGAAAGCCUGACGGAGCAACGCCGCGUGAGUGAUGAAGGUCUUCGGAUCGUAAACCUCUGUUAUUAGGGAAGAACAAAUGUGUAAGUAACUGUGCACAUCUUGACGGUACCUAAUCAGAAAGCCACGGCUAACUACGUG